AAUGAACGCUGGCGGCAGGCCUAAAACAUGCAAGUCGAACGCCUGUAGCAAUACAGGAGUGGCGCACGGGUGCGUAACACGCGGGAAUAUGCCUAUUGGUAAGGAACGGCUCCGGGAUACUGGAAUUAAUACCGUAUGGUCCCUUCGGGGUAAAGAUUUAUCGCCAGUAGAUUAGCCCGCGGUGGAUUAGCUAGUUGGUAGGGUAAUGGCCUACCAAGGCGACGAUCCAUAGCUGGUCUGAGAGGACGAUCAGCCACACUGGGACUGAGACACGGCCCAGACUCGUACGGGAGGCAGCAGUGAGGAAUAUUGGACAAUGGGCACAAGCUUGAUCCAGCCAUGCCGCGUGGGUGAUGAAGGCCUGCGGGUUGUAAAACUCUUUGGCCGAUGAGUAUAAUGACUGUAGUCGGAUAAUAAGCCCCGGCUAACUUCGUGACAGCAGCCGCGGUAA
rnacentral:rRNA from 1 species